AAGUCGUAACAAGGUUUCCGUAGGUGAACCUGCGGAAGGAUCAUUUCCAAAAAGCAACUGUGCCAAACUAUAUACACCUUUUGGUGUGUGAAACGUAAUGGAAUUGGUAUCUUAUCAAUUUUACUCUCUUCUAAUGGUGUGGUAUUGGUAGUAUCUCGUAUACUACUGUAUAUACACUUGUUAGAAAGAGAGGCCUUGAUGAACCCACAUCUUUGAAGAGCUUUCUACAUUUUUAAUAAUGUAAAAGUACUCUGAAAGGACGUUAACAAAAAGUCUCGAUAUGUUUCCAAGUAAAAAAGGGGGAUGUAGUAGGCUCUUGCAGUAUCUAGUAUACUUGCAUUGCUCGACUACUCCUCUAUACACUAGUAAAUAUACAGACAACUUUUAACGGUGGAUCUCUUGGCUCGU
rnacentral:misc_RNA from 1 species